AUGAAGUCACCCUUGAGCAAUUGCCAAUAAAAGUCAUAGUGGUUAAGUGGAAACUACACCAACCAUGGAAGAAGAGAUGAAAAAGAAGCUAGGCAUCGUUGCAGAAAGAUAUGUUGAUGAAGAUGAGAAGGUUGAGAAGUUCUUUGCAAUAAUUAGAAGGCUAAGAGAUGCUCGUAAUUGUUCAACAAACAGCUUGCGCGAAUUUGAGGCUUGCAAGAGAAUGAAGAAAGCAAAGAAGGGACAUGUACCAGUAUGGACUCCAUCCUUUCAAUUGGAAGAUUUUGCUGGGCUGAACUUAGCUGAGACAAUUCAACCAAGUUCUUCGAACAAGGACCAAGAAAAGGAGAAGAAAGAAGAGCUAGACCUCAAUCUUACCUUGUGAAGAUUAUAGGAUUCUUAUAGAGCACAAAGUAGGGGAUUGAUGUUCUUGGGAGUGGUUUGAUUCUAGGUUUGCAAACUCAACUAUAAGAUUGUUUGUUCAUGUGAUAUUAUUUUCACUGCUUUUAUUUACUACGUUCAGAAAACAGAAACCUUCCUGUGUGUUCCUCUGUUAUAUGUUAAGAUUUUUCUAGAUAUUUGAAGCAAGAAAAAAUAUUUUGUGAUUUUGUUAAAUCAGUGUCAGCUAGUAAAGUUUAGUUGUAAAGUUGUGAUCAUCCAUAAUUCAAGGGAUGAUGUCUACAUGGAGUCUGGAAAAGUUAGUUUGAGUUUGGGCAAACCAAACAGUAAUGUACUUGAUGCUCUCUGUUGGUAGUGGGGGUGGUCUCCUUUCUCUUGUUCUUGCUGUUAAAUGUUAUUCAAG
rnacentral:misc_RNA from 1 species